UGUCUUUUAGAAAUUUAAUUUAAAGUCUAGCCUGCCCACUGAAUUUUUUUAAAUGGCCGCAGUAUCCUAACUGUGCAAAGGUAGCAUAAUCAUUAGUCUUUUAAUUGAAGGCUGGAAUGAAUGGUUGGAUGAAAUAUUAACUGUUUCAUAAAAAUUUAUAAUAGAAUUUUAUUUUUUAGUCAAAAAGCUAAAAUAUUCUUAAAAGACGAGAAGACCCUAUAAAUCUUUAUAUUUAGAAAAUUACAAUUAUUUAGAUAAUUUUAAUUUUACUUUUUUUAAAUAUUUUAUUGGGGUGAUAUUAAAAUUUAAUAAACUUUUAAUUUAUUUUAAACAUAAAUUAAUGAAUUAUUGAUCCAUAGAUUAUGAUUAAAAAAUUAAGUUACUUUAGGGAUAACAGCGUAAUUUUUUUAGAGAGUUCAUAUUGAUAAAAAAGAUUGCGACCUCGAUGUUGGAUUAAGAUACAGUUUUAGGUGCAGCAGCUUAAACUUAAAGUCUGUUCGACUUUUAAAUUCUUACAUGA
rnacentral:rRNA from 1 species